GUGGCUGUGGCUUAGUGGUAGAGCACUUGCCUAGCAAGUGUGAGGCACUGAGUUCAAUUCUCAGCACCACA
rnacentral:tRNA from 1 species